rnacentral:rRNA from 1 species
UUACCAGAAGUGGCUAGUCUAACCGCAAGGAGGACGGUCACCACGGUAGGAUUCAUGACUGGGGUGAAGUCGUAACAAGGUAGCCGUAUCGGAAGGUGCGGCUGGAUCACCUCCUUUC